UUGGACAAAGGAAUAUCAAAAAGCAAGCCAUAUCCCAAAGCAGGAUCCCCGAUUUCUCUGUCCUUCACCUACUGUUCUACCACAGUCACCAAUAGUCCUGUUGAAAAGCUUUCAACGUGUCAGGCGUGGUCACACCUGCAUGGUUAUACAUGGAGAAGACUAGGAGGUCAUGGUGAGGAACAAAAAAAAACAGUGAAUAAUAUGAAAGGAGGAUCCAAUUAUAAAGACCCUUGUAAGAGACAACAGUAGCUGCAGGGGUUUCCAGGGCAACCACAACAUACCACACAUCCAAUGACCUCCACUCGAUGGGAUGCCAACUAGCUUUCAUCAUCAGCCUAUUAUUGCUUGAAGAGAGAAGGUAGCCUCACACUCCAACAAGCUCAGAUCUCCGACCACCGCUGUGGCAGGUGGCUACAGCGACUCCACCCCAACCGUCCCAUUCCAUUAUUCUAUGGAUCUACAAUGGAUGGGGGCCAUCGAGAGCGUUGGAAGGACACAUGUGGAGGCAGAAUGUCUUUAGUCCUCACAUCCAGACAGAUCAUCGAUCCCAGACUAAGAUUGCUGCAAAGCCUGCAGCAGAUGAUGCAUUGUAAACACGAACGUGUGUGAGGAAGACUUAGUGAAACGUGAAGAACUGAAAUCGCACAACGCUGCUGGAGGUCUCUCCUUGAUACGGCGCUUCCUCGAAAGCAGCACCAGCUUUGUCUUCAUAAAGACCAGAUCAAUACAAACAGACUCAUCCAAUCCUUGAUGUGCACACUGUGAACUACUCCAGGCAAACAAUGGCUUUUAUUGCAGCGACUGAACAAAUCUGCAACAAAAAGGUGCGGUCCAGAGGUUCGGAGCGGUCGGUUAAUGUUGUGAAGCUUUUCUGAGAGCAGCUGAGCCAUUCUGUGAAAGACACACAAAGGGUUUCUGCCUCCUCGAUGCUCCUCAACUCCUCCUGGAGCUGCUUGAUGGU